GACGAACGCAGGCGGCGUGCUUAACACAUGCAAGUCGAACGGAAAGGCCCUGCUUUUGUGGGGUGCUCGAGUGGCGAACGGGUGAGUAACACGUGAGUAACCUGCCCUUGACUUUGGGAUAGCUUCAGGAAACUGGGGCUAAUACCGGAUAGGAGCUCCUGCUGCAUGGUGGGGGUUGGAAAGUUUCGGCGGUUGGGGAUGGACUCGCGGCUUAUCAGCUUGUUGGUGGGGUAGUGGCUUACCAAGGCUUUGACGGGUAGCCGGCCUGAGAGGGUGACCGGCCACAUUGGGACUGAGAUACGGCCCAGACUCCUACGGGAGGCAGCAGUGGGGAAUAUUGCACAAUGGGCGGAAGCCUGAUGCAGCAACGCCGCGUGCGGGAUGACGGCCUUCGGGUUGUAAACCGCUUUCGCCUGUGACGAAGCGUGAGUGACGGUAAUGGGUAAAGAAGCACCGGCUAACUACGUG
rnacentral:rRNA from 1 species